rnacentral:lncRNA from 13 species
GGUUUCUACUAAGCAGCCAGAGACUCAUCUGCACGCUGCAGAAAUGGGAGCAGCCCAUAUUUGGAGUUGGGAAGAAGUUUAAUAAUAGCACACAAGCUUCCUCGGAAAGGGCUAGCCUAAAGGGGAACUGGUUAUUAGGAGAAAAAAAAGACACCCCUGUUUUUAUCCUCAGUCUAUAAUGAGCAAACCUCUCUUGUGUAUAGAGCAGCCUUCUAAUGUGAGUCACUCUAAGACUUGGCUUCUAACUGCUACCCCUGAGCCCAGGAAGCAGGAGCACAAUGGAGCAGCCAGGUGUCAAUUACAGGAGCCUGACAGGGCAGGAAGCAAGAGCAAUCCUGGCAUGAAAAACUGAACAUCUCUGCGGUGACCACUGUGGAGUCCCAGCAGCUGGAAGGCGGGACACGAGACCAGCAACACUCAGACAAUACCUCCAAACCGGGCGGAAACACAGAUGCUUCCUUCACCACACUUGGCUGGGGAUUUUCACCAAACCGUGGUGAGGAGUGAUUGGAAAUUAAUCUCAGAAUCCCACUGUGUAUCUGUAGUUCACAACAUAUAAUUAUGCCUAAGUUUACUUUGUAGUAAACCAUAUACAAUUGUAGGUUCUGCCUCAGACAAUCUUUUUAUUGUUUUUAGAAGCCCUGUGGUAAAAAAGCCUUACUGGAUAUUAUUUUAAUUAUAAAUCUCUACUGGAAGGUCCCCCAAGCGAC